UGUUGGAUUCAAGACCCAUUAAAAACAGUAUGAACAAUAAAUGUAGAGUAGACUACCUCAAGUCUCACUGAUUUCAAUGGAACUUAAUUUCAACCAACCAAUUCUGGAUCCAACCUAUUUGGCACAAUCCAAAAUGAGAGGUGUGCAAGUUCCAUUGCUUUCAGCUUUCUACAGAUUCCUCAAAUUUCCCUAGAAAAGAAAAAAAAGUGUGUGCAUUUUCUUACUAAAACUGGAUUUGCUGGGAAGCAGAGAAGUGGUAGGG